GGGCGCAAGCGUUGUCCGGAAUUAUUGGGCGUAAAGAGCUCGUAGGCGGUCUGUCGCGUCUGCUGUGAAAACCCGAGGCUCAACCUCGGGCCUGCAGUGGGUACGGGCAGACUAGAGUGCGGUAGGGGAGACUGGAAUUCCUGGUGUAGCGGUGGAAUGCGCAGAUAUCAGGAGGAACACCGAUGGCGAAGGCAGGUCUCUGGGCCGCAACUGACGCUGAGGAGCGAAAGCAUGGGGAGCGA
rnacentral:rRNA from 1 species